CUGCAGCUGGGCCUGGAGGCAGUGGCUCUACAGCAGCAGUGAGAGCCGAGCUGUGGCAGACACAUGCUCUUCCCCUGACUCACGGCUGCCGAGUUCCCUCCAGCGAGGCUGCUGACCUAUUUUUCUAUUAGGAACAACCAGCAAAUGUGAUAAUGAGGAAAAUGUAUACCGGCCCCUUGAAAUGUUAAUUAGAGGUGCCCAAUAAAAACUGCUCAGCAAUUUUCUUGGAGACCUCAGUGCUCAUGUUAUUCUUUCCUCUAUCUUAUGUUUUCCUCUCUCCUGCCCUUUUCAGAAACAGUCUACAGC
rnacentral:lncRNA from 1 species